AGUUUGAAAGAACCAGUGCCACGACUACUUUUCAAGAAAAUGCUUAAUUUGCCCGCCAUUGGAAAAGCCUCUUAAAAACCCUGUUGUUCCCACCCGCUCUUAUCGUCUUAUUACAAUAUUAAGUCUCUUAAAAAAACCCGUUCCCUCUCUCUUCCUCAUUUAAAUUUCCUUCAGUCUUUGUCCAACCAACAAAAUCAAUUCAGUUCAACUCAGCUAGCUCUUCCUCCUCCGUUCGGUUCCCCAGACACAGUAAGAAAAAACCCUAGAACUUUCUCUGUGUUUCUUGAAACAAAGUUUGAAUCCAACACAAUCCACUCUGGAUUCCUGAUUCUAGGGUUUUCGUUUCAGCAUCGACAUGUCCUGGGAGGACGAAGUUGUUAUGCGCGAUGUCGCCAAUGCGGGGCUUGUUGUCAGCGAUCGCAUUGGCGGUGAAGCUGCUACUCAGCUCGACGUUGAAGAUGCCCUAGAAGCGUCUAGAUACGCUAGCCACCCCUAUUCUACUCACCCUAGAGAGCUAGUGAAACUGAGUGGUAGGGAAAUGGCACAUUAUGAUGCAGUGUGAUAAUAAUAUUUCAGUGGCUGCCUCUGGUUGAGGUGGUGGAUUCAUUGGACUUGCCUACAGUACUUGUUCAAAGAUAUAAUGCAGCUGGUGGAGAAGGAAAUGCUUUAUGUGGAAUAUUUCCGGAGAUACGGAGAGCAUGGGCAUUGGUUGAUAAUUCCUUGUUCCUUUGGCGUUUUGACAAAUGGUAAGAUCUUUUUAUUUUCUUAAACUAAUAGUUGUGAAAUUGGCCACAGUGUCGUGGAUUGUUGAUGUAAAAUGGAGAUGUAAAUUAAUAGAAAAGUCACUAAGGCAGGGGUAGUUACUAAAGUUGACCAAGUGUCCAUAGAGCUCUAGUGGUUAUUUCGUUAUUAAGCAAUUUGUUGGCAAUUGAAACACAGAAAUAUUAAGAAAUGAUGUUCUGAUUUCUUAAGUUAAUAUAUCUUUGUAUGAAGGCUUAAAAUUAUUUGAAGAAGGCUGAUGGGAAAUAUUUGAAA